GAUGAACGCUGGCGGCGUGCCUAAUACAUGCAAGUCGAGCGAACAGAUAAGGAGCUUGCUCCUUUGACGUUAGCGGCGGACGGGUGAGUAACACGUGGGUAACCUACCUAUAAGACUGGGAUAACUUCGGGAAACCGGAGCUAAUACCGGAUAACAUUUGGAACCGCAUGGUUCUAAAGUGAAAGAUGGUUUUGCUAUCACUUAUAGAUGGACCCGCGCCGUAUUAGCUAGUUGGUAAGGUAACGGCUUACCAAGGCAACGAUACGUAGCCGACCUGAGAGGGUGAUCGGCCACACUGGAACUGAGACACGGUCCAGACUCCUACGGGAGGCAGCAGUAGGGAAUCUUCCGCAAUGGGCGAAAGCCUGACGGAGCAACGCCGCGUGAGUGAUGAAGGGUUUCGGCUCGUAAAACUCUGUUAUUAGGGAAGAACAAACGUGUAAGUAACUGUGCACGUCUUGACGGUACCUAAUCAGAAAGCCACGGCUAGCUACGUG
rnacentral:rRNA from 1 species